rnacentral:ncRNA from 4 species
GUGGACCGGAAUGUCGCGAUUCUGUAAACUACAGCUUUAGUGUGUCCACUAAAAGCAGCGCAGCAUGAAUCGAAAAAAAGCGGGAUGACUCUUCACGGUGUCAUCCCGCUU